rnacentral:misc_RNA from 1 species
GAAAUGCGAUAAGUAGUGUGAAUUGCAGAAUUCAGUGAAUCAUCGAAUCUUUGAACGCACAUUGCGCCCCUUGGUAUUCCAUGGGGCAUGCCUGUUCGAGCGUCAUUUGUACCCUCAAGCUCUGCUUGGUGUUGGGUGUUUGUCCCCGUCUCCGCGCGUGGACUCGCCCCAAAGUCAUUGGCAGCCGGCGUACUGGUCCCGGAGCGCAGCACAUGUCGCGCAAACGAGUGCCUUGGUACGGCGGCGUCCAUAAGCCCCUCUCUCACGCUCUUGACCUCGGAUCAGGUAGGGAUACCCGCUGAACUUAAGC